rnacentral:rRNA from 1 species
UACAGAGGGGGCAAGCGUUGUUCGGAAUUACUGGGCGUAAAGGGCUCGUAGGCGGCCAACUAAGUCAGACGUGAAAUCCCUCGGCUUAACCGGGGAACUGCGUCUGAUACUGGAUGGCUUGAGUUUGGGAGAGGGAUGCGGAAUUCCAGGUGUAGCGGUGAAAUGCGUAGAUAUCUGGAGGAACACCGGUGGCGAAGGCGGCAUCCUGGGCCACGACCGACACUGAGGUGCGAAAGCGUGGGGAGCGAACCGG